UGAUUACAAGGGGAAUAAAUAACACGAUUAACUAAUGCAUAACAGAACUAAAUAAAGUUGCCUCUACAAAAUAAUUCAUAGUUUGAAUGCACAUAAAAUGUGAGAUGACUGCCCUUACAAAGAUGUUCAUGACAGAAAGUAUUCUUGUUUUCAUAACAUUAUUUCUAGUAAAAUUAGUGAUACAAUUAAAAUCUAAAAUUUUGACUUAAUUUCUAGUCUUAACAAGUGGCUAUGCUCCUUAUUUAAAUGUCUUCAUAG